rnacentral:rRNA from 1 species
UACGUAGGGUGCGAGCGUUGUCCGGAAUUAUUGGGCGUAAAGAGCUUGUAGGCGGUCUGUCGCGUCUGCUGUGAAAAUCCGGGGCUCAACCCCGGACUUGCAGUGGGUACGGGCAGACUAGAGUGUGGUAGGGGAGACUGGAAUUCCUGGUGUAGCGGUGAAAUGCGCAGAUAUCAGGAGGAACACCGGUGGCGAAGGCGGUUCUCUGGGCCUUACCUGACGCUGAGGAGCGAAAGCAUGGGGAGCAAACAGG